rnacentral:rRNA from 1 species
AUCAACGCUGGCGGCGUGCCUCAGACAUGCAAGUCGAACGCGAAAGCUUCCUUCGGGGAGCAAGUAGAGUGGCGCACGGGUGAGUAACACGUAGGUAAUCUACCUUCGGAUGGGGAAUAACAUCGAGAAAUCGGUGCUAAUACCGCAUAAUGCAGCGGCACCUAAUGGUGACAGUUGUUAAAGCGGGGGAUCGUAAGACCUCGCGUCUGAAGAGGAGCCUGCGGCGGAUUAGCUAGUUGGUAAGGUAACGGCUUACCAAGGCUAUGAUCCGUAACCGGCCUGAGAGGGCGGUCGGUCACACUGACACUGACAUACGGGUCAGACUCCUACGGGAGGCAGCAGUCGGGAAUUUUGGGCAAUGGGCGAAAGCCUGACCCAGCAACGCCGCGUGAAGGAUGAAAUCCCCCGGGAUGUAAACUUCGCAAGAACGGGAAGAAUAAGUCUGCGUGAAUAUCGCAGGCGAUGACGGUACCGUUUGUAAGCUCCGGCUAACUCCGUGCCAGCAGCCGCGGUAAUACGGGGGGAGCAAGCGUUGUUCGGAUUUACUGGGCGUAAAGGGCGGGUAGGCGGCCACUGCAAGUCGAUUGUGAAAUCUCCGGGCUUAACCCGGAAAGGUCAACCGAUACUGCAGGGCUAGAGUGCAGAAAGGGGCAACUGGAAUUCUCGGUGUAGCGGUGAA